GCAGCUUUCGAGAAGAUGGAGUUUGAGUUCAACAUAUCGGCCUCUAUGCACUUUGACAUGAAUGUGAACACCAGUCAGUCGCUGCAACAGGUGUCACAGGAUAUGAUGGAGGAAGUGUCGGUGUAGCUGGGACGUUUCCAGGAAGUGAUGGGGCUAAUAGCCUACAUAGGUCUCUUCCUUCUGCUGCUAAUGUACCUACGGGCUGUCCUGUACAAACACAAGUACCUGCACCAGGAUGACUUUGACAACACUUACAUCACAGAGCAGUUUGAGGAGCUCAAGGAGAGAUUGGCUAGAGAGGGAAAACCUCCUGUCUAACCGCUCAGCCAGAGAGAGGCCCGCACCUACAUCAGACCAUUCUCAGUGUACCUGACGACCAGGGAGCGGUGGACGGCUGCCCUCAGCGCAGUGUCCAUUCUCAGGCACAUAGCCAUGGGAUGCCUGGUGGUGGCACUGGACCUGGUGGUCUUCUGGAUGUUUGACCUGGUGCACCACCAAGCCCAGGGGGACAUCGUGGACAGAGGUGAGACAGUCCGGCUACAGGGAAAUGGAUGAUGUCCAGGUCAAUUCAGGUCAAGGUUAUUUACUGUAAUAAAUACAUUUAAAUCUUACUAGCCACCCCACCCA